CAUCACCUGAGUCGAAGUCGGCCGCCCAACUGACUGAGCCACCCGGGAGCCCCAAAUGAACAUUCUUUAUAGUAAGGAUAUUUAUUACAGCUUCAUUUAUAAGCAACAUAUUAGAAAAUCUAAAUUUCCUUUAAAAAAAGGAUUAAAGAAGUAAUGGUACUUCUAACUGUGAAAUAUGGUGCCGCCAACAUUUAAAAAAAAUAACUAUCUAUGAUAGGAAAAGACAUACAUACCCAAGAUAGAUCAUUAAAUGAAAAAAAGAAAUGCAGAUUAUGUAAAGUACGCUAUCAUUUGUGUGAGGAAAAAUAAUGCAUAAACUUACAUGUUUAUAAAAAUGCUCGAAAUAUCUCUCGAAGGAUACUCAAGAAAUUGAUAACAAUGGGGCCCUGUCCAGCUAGGAAACUGAGAAGGAUGCUUAUUUUUCACUGUAUGCCCUUUUUUACUUUUUAAAUUUUAUACCAUGUGGAUGUAAUGCCUGUUCAAAACAUAAAGUUGCUUUAAAAUUUUUUCUUUAAAGAAAGAAAACUCCUAACUGAUGGAGUAGGCACACAGGAAUAUUUAUAACUGUCACACGCACCCGCAUGCAGAAAGUCUGGAAUGAUACUCGGACUGCCAACAGCGGUUACCCCAAGGAGAGGAGUUGGAGCGCGCAUGCGGGCAGCCAGGAACAAUUUCCCAACUGAAAGGUCACUCCAUGCUGACAUUUACUGCAAGGCAACGUUCUAAACUUUACAAGUAUCAAGUCAUUUUACCCUUGCCCAAGAUGCUGAGGAAGAUCAGCUCCAUCACCCUAAAUCAACAGGAAUGCACAUACUUUCAGAACCAGCCAUUCCGCUUUUAGGACCGUAUCCCACGGAAAUACCUGAACAAGUUGCUGACGGCAGGCUGCGUGCCUAUAAGAGUCACAGGCCAUGGACUUCUAUGCACCUGUCAAGAGGAGUAAAGUCGUGACCUCACGGUUCAUGGGUUGGUACCCCAUGUCAGGCUUUGCAAUGACAGCGUGGAGUCUGCUUGGGAUUUGCUCUCUCUUUCUCUCUCUCUCUGCCCCUCCCUCUCUCAAAAUAAAUAAAUAAACUUAAAAACUGAUACGUAUUUUUUAAAAAAAGAAUAUUUC